rnacentral:rRNA from 1 species
GACGAACGCUGGCGGCGUGCUUAACACAUGCAAGUCGAACGGAAAGGCCCUGCUCUUGUGGGGUGCUCGAGUGGCGAACGGGUGAGUAACACGUGAGUAUCCUGCCCUUGACUUUGGGAUAACUCCAGGAAACUGGGGCUAUUACCGGAUAGGAGCUCCUGCUGCAUGGUGGGGGUUGGAAAGUUUCGGCGGUUGGGGCUGGUCUCGCGGCUUAUGAGCUUGUUGGUGAGGUAGUGGCUUACCAAGGCUUUGACGGAUAGCCGGCCUGAGAGGGUGACCGGCCACAUUGGGACUGAGAGGCGGACCAGACGCCUACGGGAGGCAGAGGUGGGGAGUAUUGCACAGUGGGCGGAAGUGUGAUGCAGAAACGUCGGGUGCGGAAUGACGGGCUUCGAGUUGUGAACCGCUUUGGCCUGUAACGAAGCGUGAGUGACGGUAAUGGGUAAAGAAGCACCGGCUAACUACGUG